rnacentral:rRNA from 1 species
UAACCUGCCCAAGAGACUGGGAUAACACCUGGAAACAGAUGCUAAUACCGGAUAACAACACUAGACGCAUGUCUAGAGUUUAAAAGAUGGUUCUGCUAUCACUCUUGGAUGGACCUGCGGUGCAUUAGCUAGUUGGUAAGGUAACGGCUUACCAAGGCAAUGAUGCAUAGCCGAGGUGAGAGACUGAUCGGCCACAUUGGGACUGAGACACGGCCCAAACUCCUACGGGAGGCAGCAG